AAAACCAUGCUUUCAGGGAUCAUGUCUAUGGUUUGUUACUGGAGAAGUUUCUCUGAAUGUAGAAUCCCUGAAACCAUGAGGAGGAGGCGCGGGGCUUUCUCCUCAGCAUGAAGCUGGCUCUCGGUGCUGCUUCCACAACCGUCUAUUGCCACUGAUGAUCCUUCUUCUCCUCCUUCCGGAAGUAAGAGGACGUAGUCUGAGUGGA
ensembl:snoRNA U3 Small nucleolar RNA U3